UACGGGGGGGGCGAGCGUUGUUCGGAAUCACUGGGCGUAAAGGGCGCGUAGGCGGCCCGCACAAGUCUGCGGUGAAAACCUCCGGCUUAACCGGGGGCCGGCCGUGGAAACUGUCGGGCUGGAGGCUGGGAGAGGGCAGCGGAAUUCCCGGUGUAGCGGUGAAAUGCGUAGAGAUCGGGAGGAACACCGGUGGCGAAGGCGGCUGCCUGGACCAGUCCUGACGCUGAGGCGCGAAAGCUAGGGGAGCAAACAGG
rnacentral:rRNA from 1 species